UACAGAGGGUGCGAGCGUUAAUCGGAAUUACUGGGCGUAAAGGGCGCGUAGGCGGACAGUUUAGUCAGAGGUGAAAGCCCAGGGCUCAACCUUGGAAUUGCCUUUGAUACUGGCUGUCUUGAGUACGGGAGAGGUGAGUGGAACUCCGAGUGUAGAGGUGAAAUUCGUAGAUAUUCGGAAGAACACCAGUGGCGAAGGCGACUCACUGGCCCGUUACUGACGCUGAGGCGCGAAAGCGUGGGGAGCAAACAGG
rnacentral:rRNA from 1 species